AGUGAACGCUGGCGGUAGGCCUAACACAUGCAAGUCGAACGGCAGCACAGGAGAGCUUGCUCUCUGGGUGGCGAGUGGCGGACGGGUGAGGAAUACAUCGGAAUCUACUUUUUCGUGGGGGAUAACGUAGGGAAACUUACGCUAAUACCGCAUACGACCUACGGGUGAAAGCAGGGGAUCUUCGGACCUUGCGCGAUUGAAUGAGCCGAUGUCGGAUUAGCUAGUUGGCGGGGGAAAGGCCCACCAAGGCGACGAUCCGUAGCUGGUCUGAGAGCAUGAUGAGCCACACUGGAACUGAGACACGGUCCAGACUCCGACGGGAGGCAGCAGUGGGGAAUAUUGGACAAUGGGCGCAAGCCUGAUCCAGCCAUACCGCGUGGGUGAAGAAGGCCUUCGGGUUGUAAAGCCCUUUUGUUGGGAAAGAAAUCCAGCUGGCUAAUACCCGGUUGGGAUGACGGUACCCAAAGAAUAAGCACCGGCUAACUUCGUGCCAGCCGCCGCGGUAA
rnacentral:rRNA from 1 species